AUGACCAAACAAAAUCAAAAACUCAAUUUUCCUUCCUGCUUCUUCUUUCGUGUUCUUAAAACUUCAUCACACAGAUCUAUGCCCAUUCAAAAUAUAAAAAAGAAAGGAAACAAAAACUUACAUGUCGCUGUGAAAACGGGAAGGGAACGUGCGUUCACGGAGGUCUUCACAGCGGGUUGUUCUUAUCCAUGUGUGGCCAGCAGAGGUGAUGACUUGGGAUGGUGUCCGGAGGGUGACCAAAAACGCGAGGAGGCUGGAGGCGAGACGGUUGUGUUCUGCUUAUGCACACAGAGGUCGCAGUUGCGCGUAGUGGUUGUCGUUUCCAUGUGA